UAUGAGCAGUUAGUUAUCAAAGUGAAGC
rnacentral:piRNA from 1 species